rnacentral:rRNA from 1 species
UACGGAGGGGGCAAGCGUUAUCCGGAAUUAUUGGGCGUAAAGCGUCCGCAGGUGGCGAUUCAAGUCUGCGGUUAAAGACUGGGGCUUAACCCUGGAAAGGCCGUGGAAACUGAAACGCUAGAGUGCAGUAGGGGUAGAGGGAAUUCCCGGUGUAGCGGUGAAAUGCGUAGAGCUCGGGAAGAACAUCGGUGGCGAAAGCGCUCUGCUGGACUGCAACUGACACUCAGGGACGAAAGCUAGGGGAGCGAAUGGG